AACGCUAGCUACAGGCUUAACACAUGCAAGUCGAGGGGCAGCAUAAAAGUAGCAAUACUUUGGUGGCGACCGGCGCACGGGUGAGUAACGCGUAUGCAACCUACCUAUCAGAGGGGGAUAACCCGGCGAAAGUCGGACUAAUACCGCAUAAAACAGGGGCACCGCAUGGUGAUAUUUGUUAAAAAUUUAUUGCUGAUAGAUGGGCAUGCGUUCCAUUAGGUAGUUGGAGAGGUAACGGCUCACCAAGCCCACGAUGAAUAGGGGAACUGAGAGGUUGGUCCCCCACACUGGUACUGAGACACGGACCAGACUCCUACGGGAGGCAGCAGUGAGGAAUAUUGGUCAAUGGGCGAGAGCCUGAACCAGCCAAGUCGCGUGAAGGAAGAAGGAUCUAUGGUUCGUAAACUUCUUUUGCAGGGGAAUAAAGUGCAGGACGUGUCCUGUUUUGUAUGUACCCUGAGAAUAAGGAUCGGCUAACUCCGUGCCAGCAGCCGCGGUAAUACGGAGGAUCCGAGCGUUAUCCGGAUUUAUUGGGUUUAAAGGGUGCGUAGGUGGUUUAAUAAGUCAGCGGUGAAAGUUUGCAGCUUAACUGUAAAAAUGCCGUUGAAACUGUUAGACUUGAGUGUAAAUGAGGUAGGCGGAAUGCGUGGUGUAGCGGUGAAAUGCUUAGAUAUCACGAAGAACUCCGAUUG
rnacentral:rRNA from 1 species